UACGUAGGGACCAAGCGUUGUUCGGAUUUACUGGGCGUAAAGGGCGCGUAGGCGGCGUGUUAAGUCACUUGUGAAAAUCUCUAAGCUUAACUUAGAACGGUCAAGUGAUACUGAUGUGCUAGAGUGCAGAAGGGGCAACCGGAAUUCUUGGUGUAGCGGUGAAAUGCGUAGAUACCAAGAGGAACACCUGAGGUGAAGACGGGUUGCUGGGCUGACACUGACGCUGAGGCGCGAAAGCUAGGGUAGCAAACGGG
rnacentral:rRNA from 1 species